GUAUAAGGUUAAAGGUGUAUAAACACCAUUGACAUUCUAAUGCAUUCAGAGAGUUUGUGUAAAUAACAUAGAGCAAGAUAUAUUUUACAGGAGAAGCUGUUUUGUUACAACAGCAAUCCCCAAAACAAACCGAGUUUGACCUCGAGAGUAAUAACUAUCUUGUUCUACAGAAGGUGCACAGGUGAUAAAAAAUUGAAUAACGGCGGGUGUGCACAAUGCUCCAGAAGAGCCAGCAACAACCGUACCAGAUUUAUUUCAAUAAUGAUCCUUCCGCAGGUUCACCUACGGAAA
rnacentral:misc_RNA from 1 species